rnacentral:rRNA from 1 species
AUUGAACGCUGGCGGCAUGCUUUACACAUGCAAGUCGAACGGCAGCGCGGGGCCACCUGGCGGCGAGUGGCGAACGGGUGAGUAAUAUAUCGGAACGUACCCAGAAGUGGGGGAUAACGUAGCGAAAGUUACGCUAAUACCGCAUACGAUCUACGGAUGAAAGUAGGGGACCGCAAGGCCUUAUGCUUUUGGAGCGGCCGAUAUCUGAUUAGCUAGUUGGUGAGGUAAAGGCCCACCAAGGCGACGAUCAGUAGCUGGUCUGAGAGGACGACCAGCCACACUGGAACUGAGACACGGUCCAGACUCCUACGGGAGGCAGCAGUGGGGAAUUUUGGACAAUGGGCGCAAGCCUGAUCCAGCAAUGCCGCGUGAGUGAAGAAGGCCUUCGGGUUGUAAAGCUCUUUUGUCAGGGAAGAAACGGUAGAGGCUAAUAUCCUUUGCUAAUGACGGUACCUGAAGAAUAAGCACCGGCUAACUACGUG